GUGAUAUGUUUUUCUAAUGUGUAUUAGUUGGUUCAUGCAAUGCAGCUAUGCAAAAUUGAUUCUGAGGGAAAGGCUAGAAAAGUUGUGGGAUGUUCAUGUGUGGUCGUCAAGGAUUAUGGUGAGGAAUCAGAGGGCCUUCAUAUAGUUCAGGAGUAUGUUAAAUCCCACUGAGUUUUGAUAAAUUGUUACUUUUAUGGAUUUCAAGAGACAGAUUGCUGGUGCAGUGUAGAAACAUGGAGCUCAUAAAAUUUGAACUUCCUAGCGUUUGUGGUAACCAUUUCUACUUCUUGUGCUUUAACAUGAUGUUUCUCUUUUCUGGUUA